UGCAUCCUGUGGUCUAGUGGUAUGUCGCCGGCGGCCUGUGCUGAGGGUCGCUGGUUCGAUGCCGACCAGUGCAA